rnacentral:rRNA from 1 species
CCUACGGGAGGCAGCAGUCGAGAAUCAUUCACAAUGGGGGAAACCCUGAUGGUGCGACGCCGCGUGCGGGAAUGCAGGUCUUCGGAUUGUAAACCCCUGUCAUGUGGGAGCAAAUUAAAAAGAUAGUACCACAAGAGGAAGAGACGGCUAACUCUGUGCCAGCAGCCGCGGUAAUACAGAGGUCUCAAGCGUUGUUCGGAAUCACUGGGCGUAAGGCGUGCGUAGGCGGUUUCGUAAGUCGGGUGUGAAAGGCGCGGGCUCAACCCCCGGACGGCACAUGAUACUGUGAGACUAGAGUAAUGGAGGGGGAACCGGAAUGCUCGGUGUAGCAGUGAAAUGCGUAGAUAUCGAGAGGAACACUCGUGGCGAAGGCAGGUUCCUGGACAUUAUCUGACGCUGAGGCACGAAGGCCAGGGGAGCGAAAGGGAUUAGAUACCCCUGUAGUC